GACGAACGCUGGCGGCGUGCCUAAUACAUGCAAGUAGAACGCACAGUUUAUACCGUAGCUUGCUACACCAUAGACUGUGAGUUGCGAACGGGUGAGUAACGCGUAGGUAACCUGCCUGGUAGCGGGGGAUAACUAUUGGAAACGAUAGCUAAUACCGCAUAAUAUUAAUUAUUGCAUGAUAAUUAAUUGAAAGGUGCAAUUGCACCACUACCAGAUGGACCUGCGUUGUAUUAGCUAGUAGGUGAGGUAACGGCUCACCUAGGCGACGAUACAUAGCCGAGCUGUGAGGGUGAUCGGCCACACUGGGACUGAGACACGGCCCAGACUCCUACGGGAGGCAGCAGUAGGGAAUCUUCGGCAAUGGACGAAAGUCUGACCGAGCAACGCCGCGUGAGUGGAGAAGGUUUUCGGAUCGUAAAGCUCUGUUGUAAGAGAAGAACGGGUGUGAGAGUGGAAAGUUCACACUGUGACGGUAUCUGACCAGAAAGGGACGGCUAACUACGUG
rnacentral:rRNA from 1 species